UGAGGAAUUUUCUGCAAUGGACGAAAGUCUGACAGAGCAAUACCGCGUGAGGGAUGGAGGCCUACGGGUUGUAAACCUCUUUUCUCAAGGAGGAAGAUCUGACGUUACUUGAGGAAUAAGCAUCGGCUAACCCUGUGCCAGCAGCCGCGGUAAUACAGGGGAUGCAAGUGUUAUCCGGAAUUAUUGGGCGUAAAGCGUCUGCAGGUGGAUAAAUAAGUCCUUUGUUAAAUCUCUGAGCUUAACUCAGAAUCUGCAAAAGAAACUGUUUAUCUUGAGUAUGGUAGAGGUAAGGGGAAUUUCCAGUGGAGCGGUGAAAUGCGUAGAUAUUGGAAAGAACACCAACAGCGAAGGCACCUUACUGGGCCAGUACUGACACUCAGAGACGAAAGCUAGGGGAGCAAACGGG
rnacentral:rRNA from 1 species